GUGGGUUGUCGUCUCGGCUUCCUGAAGAAAUGACUGGCUUCCAGAAACGAAAAUAAAGAAAAGAAAGGGCGACAGCCCAACAAAUGCAGCUUCAGGCUCAGCAGUCCUGUCUCCCCAUCAGCGCUGCUCCCAACUGAAGAAGGAGGCUCUCAAAAGACUCCAUUAAGCUGAAUUUCAAAGUCCCUUUUGUUUGGAAGCUUGAUGUGCACUUUACAUCCCGUUACCGUGGC